GCCCAGGUGGCGGAAUUGGUAGACGCGCUGGUUUCAGGUAUCAGUGACCGAAAGGUCGUGGAAGUUCGAGUCUUCUCCUGGGCACCA
rnacentral:tRNA from 1 species